rnacentral:rRNA from 1 species
AAGCCAGUGGUGAACUCCACAUACGCAUCCUUUGCUGAGGAUACGGUUAACGGAGCGAAAGCGACGUUCAACCUCAAAAGAAGCAGAGGGGGCUUAGUGGUGGGGUGACUGCGUACCUUUUGUAUAAUGGGUCAGCGACUUAUAUUCUGUAGCAAGGUUAACCGCAUAGGGGAGCCGGAGGGAAACCGAGUCUUAAUUGGGCGUUAAGUUGCAGGGUAUAGACCCGAAACCCGGUGAUCUAGCCAUGGGCAGGUUGAAGGUUGGGUAACACUAACUGGAGGACCGAACCGACUAAUGUUGAAAAAUUAGCGGAUGACCUGUGGCUGGGGGUGAAAGGCCAAUCAAACCGGGAGAUAGCUGGUUCUCCCCGAAAGCUAUUUAGGUAGCGCCUCGUGAAUUCAUCUCCGGGGGUAGAGCACUGUUUCGGCUAGGGGGCCAUCCCGGCUUACCAACCCGAUGCAAACUGCGAAUACCGGAGAAUGUUAUCACGGGAGACACACGGCGGGUGCUAACGUCCGUCGUGAAGAGGGAAACAACCCAGACCGCCAGCUAAGGUCCCAAAGUCAUGGUUAAGUGGGAAACGAUGUGGGAAGGCCCAGACAGCCAGGAUGUUGGCUUAGAAGCAGCCAUCAUUUAAAGAAAGCGUAAUAGCUCACUGGUCGAGUCGGCCUGCGCGGAAGAUGUAACGGGGCUAAACCAUGCACCGAAGCUGCGGCAGCGACACUGUGUGUUGUUGGGUAGGGGAGCGUUCUGUAAGCCUGUGAAGGUGGCCUGUGAGGGUUGCUGGAGGUAUCAGAAGUGCGAAUGCUGACAUAAGUAACGAUAAAGCGGGUGAAAAGCCCGCUCGCCGGAAGACCAAGGGUUCCUGUCCAACGUUAAUCGGGGCAGGGUGAGUCGACCCCUAAGGCGAGGCCGAAAGGCGUAGUCGAUGGGAAACGGGUUAAUAUUCCCGUACUUGGUGUUACUGCGAAGGGGGGACGGAGAAGGCUAUGUUGGCCGGGCGACGGUUGUCCCGGUUUAAGCGUGUAGGUGUGUGUUCCAGGUAAAUCCGGUUCACUUUAACACUGAGGCGUGACGACGAGGCACUACGGUGCUGAAGCAACAAAUGCCCUGCUUCCAGGAAAAGCCUCUAAGCAUCAGGUAACAUCAAAUCGUACCCCAAACCGACACAGGUGGUCAGGUAGAGAAUACCAAGGCGCUUGAGAGAACUCGGGUGAAGGAACUAGGCAAAAUGGUGCCGUAACUUCGGGAGAAGGCACGCUGACACGUAGGUGAAGUGAUUUACUCAUGGAGCUGAAGUCAGUCGAAGAUACCAGCUGGCUGCAACUGUUUAUUAAAAACACAGCACUGUGCAAACACGAAAGUGGACGUAUACGGUGUGACGCCUGCCCGGUGCCGGAAGGUUAAUUGAUGGGGUCAGCGCAAGCGAAGCUCCUGAUCGAAGCCCCGGUAAACGGCGGCCGUAACUAUAACGGUCCUAAGGUAGCGAAAUUCCUUGUCGGGUAAGUUCCGACCUGCACGAAUGGCGUAAUGAUGGCCAGGCUGUCUCCACCCGAGACUCAGUGAAAUUGAACUCGCUGUGAAGAUGCAGUGUACCCGCGGCAAGACGGAAAGACCCCGUGAACCUUUACUAUAGCUUGACACUGAACAUUGAGCCUUGAUGUGUAGGAUAGGUGGGAGGCUUUGAAGUGUGGACGCCAGUCUGCAUGGAGCCGACCUUGAAAUACCACCCUUUAAUGUUUGAUGUUCUAACGUGGACCCGUAA